UCAGUGUCAUAACACCCAUCACAUAACUACCCUGUUAUCAGUGUCAUAACAUCCAUAACAUAACUACACUGUUAUCAGUGUAAUAACACCCAUCACAUAACCACCCUGUUAUCAUUGAGGUGACACUCAUUACAUAACCACCCUGUUAUCAUUGAGGUGACACUCAUUACAUAACCACCCUGUUAUCAUUGAGGUGACACUCAUUACAUAACCACCCUGUUAUCAUUGAGGUGACGCUCAUUACAUAACCACCCUGUUAUCAUUGAGGUGACACUCAUUACAUAACUACCCUGUUAUCAUUGAGGUGACACUCAUUACAUAACUACCCUGUUAUCAUUGAGGUGACACUCAUUACAUAACUACCCUGUUAUCAGUGUUAUAACACCCAUCACAUAACCACCCUGUUAUCAUUGAGGUGACACUCAUUACAUUUGUUAUGGAUGUGUAAUAACCCUUGUGGCUGUUCCUGUAGGUUCCUAUUAUUUUAUCACCAAAGAAUGAGAUAUAGUUUGAAAACAGUGCCCUAUCAUUGGACUUACUUCACUCAGCUUGAUAAUCUUAAUCGAUCUUAUACAAAAUAGAAAAUCAUGUAAUGUCCUUUGUAUAAUCAUUUCUCCUGGCUUUCAAACAAGAUUUUUAUCACAGGCAUUUCAAACUUUUUAAAAUCUACAAAUAUAAAUCGGAUUAUCCUCGAAUGUGAGGUUUUAAUGACCAACUGGUAGAAUGAAUCAGAUUCCGAGGGACAAGACAGCCAUAGUUAGUUUUAUAUAUAGUCUAAGAUUGAUGCCUAACACAACAGUUUACAGAUGUCUGAGAUGAUUUGAAUUUGUUUUUGGAUAUAUAUAGGACAAAUAACUACUUUCAUUAAUACCCUAUUUUUUGUGUGUGCCAAAAUUUUGCUACCAAAACCCUGUCAUUUAAAAUCAUUUUAUUUCUUGAUGUGAACAUUGUCAAGUAAAUCAGUUCCAAACACUGGUGACAAGGUCAGUAUAUGAAGAAUACAUGAUUUCUCAACAAACAUUACUAUUUGUUUGUUAGAAUCAUGCAAAGAAUCAUACAAUACACCUCUCCAAUCAAACUUAGUUGUCUGAUAACUCGAAGUAUAAAUUCAGUUUAAUCAGUAAAUAUUUUACGUAAAGCAUACUCGGUUGAAUUCAUGUGAUAAGUGUUUUCACUACCCGAGCUGACUUCGAGAUACAGAGGUUUGGCUGUGUUUGAUACAUCUUUUCACCAUCACACUCCUUGUUGAUUAUUUCCUGAACUAAAAGUCAUUCAUUCUUUUUUUUCCAAUAAUUUCAUUCUGAAAUCCUCAGUGAUCUUUCUACUACAGCUAACAAAAUUGAGUUUGAAACAUGGUGUUUUUAUACCAAUAAAAAAAAUUCACUUGAUCCUGCAAAUUUUAAACAUUCACAUUCUGUCUCCAGUUUUCUUGUGAAUAGAAUUAUUUCUAAUCAUCAGGUUUAAUGAAUUGGUUAUAAAUGACAGGGAUGUAGAUGUUCUCAUUGUGUUCACUGUAAAACAGUUCUCCACUGUACAGCAUGAAAUGUUAGUGUGGACUUUCUUUCCUGAUUUUGAGCUUUCAAAAUAUGUCAUGGCUACAAACUGUAAUGCAAAAAUAAUGUAACAAUAAUAUAUAAAACAAUAUUUGUUAUAUUUAUAUUUGUAGUUCCAUAGCAACCACACAAAAAAUAACGAAAGUUUAUACACACCAAGCGUUUCAUGUUAUACAGAAUUCCUUGUAUAUAAUUUGUGUACAUACAGCAUCGCAGUGUUAUAUUAUCUUACUGGUGACCAGCGGGCCGUGUCCUCACACAGAAUAUGACCAGUGGGCCGUGUCCUCACACAGAAUAUGACCAGUGGGCCGUGUCCUCACACAGGACGUGACCAGUGGGCCGUGUCCUCACACAGAAUAUGACCAGUGGGCCGUGUCCUCACACAGAAUAUGACCAGUGGGUCGUGUCCUCACACAGGACGUGACCAGUGGGCCGUGUCCUCACACAGGACGUGACCAGUGGGCCGUGUCCUAUCACAGAAUAUGACUAGUGGUCCGUGUCCUAUCACAGAAUAUGACCAGUGGGCCGUGUCCUCACACAGAAUAUGACCAGUGGGCCGUGUCCUCACACAGGAUGUGACCAUGCAGUGGGUCUUGUCCUCACACAGGACGUGACCAGUGGGCCGUGUCCUCACACAGGACGUGACCAGUGGGCCGUGUCCUCACACAGAAUAUGAACAGUGGGUCAUGUCCUCACACAGGACGUGACCAGUGGGCCGUGUCCUCACACAGAAUAUUGUUGUGUGUGGUUUUGAAAUUUAUUAAACUCACUUUUAGUCUUGAAAAGUCUUGAAUACUAUUCUGUGGUCUUGAAAAACCUUGAAAUAUGAUACGAAAAUACCAUAAACAUGGGAAAAUGUACUUCCAAUUCAAAUUGGAAGAGCAACUCUUUGUUUUAAUCUAAAGUUAUUGACCUGUAAGGUGUGUCUGUUCAUUUUGUGACUAAGUUGGAUAUAGGUGUAUCCCUUAUCAAUAUCCAUAGUUCAUUUCUCAAUCCCUGUACACAGGCCCCCGUGUUACCAGUGAGAAAGCUUGUACAUGUCUGCUGCUAGUAUGUUAUUUUUAGCUUGAUACACAAAUACAACAAUGUAUUUUCACUGUGAUACAAUAAUGUAUAUAUAACGUUUUUGCCUAUAAACAUGUCAUAAUAUAUUUGUUCGUGUAGAAAUUAUCGUUACAUUCAGAAAUUUGCUUAUGAUGUUGAUAAAUAAUUUUAUUCAUCAACAAUGACCUUGCUCCAAAACAUUGAAAUAUAUUGAAUAUUUUUAUUUUAACUUUAGGAUCAACCAUUUUUACAGAUGAAAUUUUCCUUCGGGACUUUGUAAAUUAUCAAUUGAUGAAAUUUGAACUCCAAAAAUACAUUUUGUCCAAGGAAGUUUUAUUUCUUUUUCUUAAAAAUUGCAAGGUAAAAUAAUACUACUACAUUAGUAAGAGUUUUGCAUUCCAUCAGUAAGUUUCCAAACUCCACUGUAGAACGGUGGCCGAUCUUAUAA